GAUCAAGUGACUAAGUGUAUGUGGUGGAUGCCUUGGCGAUUACAGGCGAAGAAGGACGUGGCAGUCUGCGAAAAGCCGUGGGGAGCUGACAACGAGCGUUGAACCAUGGAUAUCCGAAUGAGGGAACUCACCUGCAAAGGUAUCUUUAAGUGAAUACAUAGCUUGAAGAGGCGAACGGAGUGAACUGAAACAUCUGAGUAGCUCCAGGAAAAGAAAUCAACCGAGAUUGCGCUAGUAGCGGCGAGCGAAUGCGCA
rnacentral:ncRNA from 1 species